rnacentral:rRNA from 1 species
AUUGAACGCUGGCGGUAUGCUUAACAUAUGCAAGUCGAACGGCAGCACGGUAUGUAGCAAUACAUAUGGGUGGCAAGUGGCGGACGGGUGAGUAACGCGUAGGAAUCUGCCCUCAAGCGGGGGACAACCCGAGGAAACUCGGGCUAAUACCGCAUAAACUCGGAAGAGAAAAGCUGGGGUAACCUGGCACUUGAGGAGGAGCCUGCGUCUGAUUAGCUAGUUGGUAGGGUAAAGGCCUACCAAGGCGAUGAUCAGUAGCUGGUCUGAGAGGAUGACCAGCCACACUGGAAAUGAGACACGGUCCAGACUCCUACGGGAGGCAGCAGUGGGGAAUAUUGGACAAUGGGGGAAACCCUGAUCCAGCAAUACCGCGUGUGUGAAGAAGGCCUUCGGGUUGUAAAGCACUUUAGUUGGGGAGGAAGGUUAGCAGUUUAAGAGAUGGCUAAUUUGACUGUACCCAAAGAAUAAGCACCGGCUAACUCUGUGCCAGCAGCCGCAGUAA